GUUAUUUUGGCAGAAUAGUGUGGUAGAUUUAGAAUCUGAGAAAGUAAUUAGUUACAAAUAAUA
rnacentral:tRNA from 1 species